rnacentral:rRNA from 1 species
AUGAACGCUGGCGGCGUGCCUAAUACAUGCAAGUCGAGCGAACAGACGAGGAGCUUGCUCCUCUGACGUUAGCGGCGGACGGGUGAGUAACACGUGGAUAACCUACCUAUAAGACUGGGAUAACUUCGGGAAACCGGAGCAAAUACCGGAUAAUAUAUUGAACCGCAUGGUUCAAUAGUGAAAGACGGUUUUGCUGUCACUUAUAGAUGGAUCCGCGCCGCAUUAGCUAGUUGGUAAGGUAACGGCUUACCAAGGCAACGAUGCGUAGCCGACCUGAGAGGGUGAUCGGCCACACUGGAACUGAGACACGGUCCAGACUCCUACGGGAGGCAGCAGUAGGGAAUCUUCCGCAAUGGGCGAAAGCUUGACGGAGCAACGCCGCGUGAGUGAUGAAGGUCUUCGGAUCGUAAAACUCUGUUAUUAGGGAAGAACAAAUGUGUAAGUAACUAUGCACGUCUUGACGGUACCUAAUCAGAAAGCCACGGCUAACUACGUG